GGGGCUGCUCUGGGUCACAUACUCGUCCUGAGCCGGCUUCAGCCUCUCUGCGCAGAAGUCUCCCGGAGCCAUGGCCGAGUACUCUUAUGUGAAGCCUACCAAGCCCGUGCUCAAGGGAACCAAGGCGAAGAGGCGAGAUGGAAAGAAAGUAUGAAGGAGUGAGCUGAAGUCACUGCACUUGAGAACCCUCUCGAGGAGUCUGGCCUCAUGAAGAUGCCAGAAUAAAUGGCAGAUAGAAGAAAAAGAGCAAACAUAAGAGAAAAAGAGAAGAAGAUGAAGAAACCCAGCUUGAUAUUGUUGGC